rnacentral:rRNA from 1 species
GAUGAACGCUAGCGGGAGGCCUAACACAUGCAAGCCGAGCGGGAUUUGUUGGUUAGCUUGCUAACUAACAAUGAGAGCGGCGUACGGGUGCGUAGCACGUGUGCAACCUGCCUUUAUCUGGGGGAUAGCCUUUCGAAAGGAAGAUUAAUACCCCAUAACAUAUUGAUUGGCAUCAGUUAAUAUUGAAAGCUCCGGCGGAUAGAGAUGGGCACGCGUAAGAUUAGCUAGUUGGUGAGGUAACGGCUCACCAAGGCUGCGAUCUUUAGGGGGCCUGAGAGGGGGAUCCCCCACACUGGUACUGCGGCACGGACCAGACUCCUACGGGAGGCAGCAGUGAGGAAUAUUGGACGAUGGGUGAGGGCCUGAUCCAGCCAUCCCGCGUGAAGGACUAAGGACCUAUGGUUUGUAAACUUCUUUUAUACAAGGAUAAACCUACUCUCGUGAGGGUAGCUGAAGGUACUGUAUGAAUAAGCACCGGCUAACUCCGUG